rnacentral:sRNA from 1 species
AAUCCAAAUCGGAAGUAACCCGUCGUCGUCGUCGUCGUCGUCAAUUUGGAGAACCCGCGGACGCGGCAUGGGUGUGCAGCAACUGGGAGGCGCCGGCGGCGGGCGCGGGGGCGGCCGGCGGAGCCGCCGAGGUCGCCGUGAGGCACCACCGCGCCUUGCCCACCGGUGCGCCGACGAAGGACUCCGGGCUCCUCUCCGCGUGGAUGCAAUCAAGGGAAGCCACAGUACAGUCUCCUGUAUGGCGCAGGUGCGAGCAUGGAAUACACCCAUUUGGUGACCCUAAAGCAUCUGAGCAUGAAACACUACAGCAAACCUUGACAGCACUGCUGAAGUUCUCUUGAUUUGUGCAUUAAGCGAUCCACUUUUAUGACUACUAUAAAGGUCACAUGGAGGCUUGAGAUGGACCUGCUUUGCUCUUAUUUAGCUGGGCAGAGAAAUAUUAUCAUUCUGGGUGAAGACGUUCUCUGCGAAGAGUCUAGCAAACUUUGUGUUCAUCCAAUAGGACCAAUACAGACCUGGAGGCGAAUAUCGUGCAAAUAAUCCUGAGAUGUCAAAGCUGCCGCGCAAAGCAGUUCAUGAAAAAAAAAAAGGUGAUAAUGCAUACACCAUGUACCAGCAUCUGCAAACCGUCCUGUCAAUGUGGAAUUCCCCUUCCCUUGGAGCUAUUUCCAGAUAAACAAAUGAAGCUAUUGCAAUUGCAAUGAAUAGAACAGGAGGGAUACUCAGGGGAAGGUGGUGAGAUGUUGUUGAUGAGUAUUCUCCAAUACUUGCUCAUCUCAAAAGUCUGCAGAAUGGAGACGCUGCCACAAGUUCCAUUAAGCAGAUUAUGAUGGUGGCACUGGAGCUAGGCCAAUUAGUUUGAUUAAGCAUUCUGCCGGUCCUUGGGAACUUGGUCUUUCAGAAGCACACCAGGAUGGUAGGGUGGAUGGUGGAUUCAGAAGUUGCCAAUAUGUCCUUAUGGCUAGUGUCAUGGGCGUGGAUGAAUAUGGUUUUGGUUCUGUGGCUAUGAAUAGCUACUGGAUGUGUUCAAGAUGUCCACACUAAUGGCCCUGUUCUUGAUGAGACAAUCCUUGCAAAUCCUGAUAUAUCUGAUGUAAUUGAGAAUGAGGAGGUUUCCAAGAUAUUAUAAUGUUGAGAGGGCUGUCUGUGGUCAAGUAGCAGGUGUCAUUGCGAAGAAGUUUACUGGAAGUGCAGGGCCAGUCUUUUGGAUGUUUUCUAACUCCUGGAAUACUCUGCAAGUUGAGAGAGGCCAAUGAUUAUGUUGGAAAGAAUUUGCAGGGCAUGGGUGGUGGAGAGAUGGUUGUAGCUCCUGUAGAGUGUACUAGAUAGCACAGGAUUCGUUCCUGACUUCCUGACGAAGCUACUAUAGCUGGAAACGCUUGUCUGUGUUGGCUACUAGUGAGCAGGUAUUUGUGACAGGCAAAACAGGUGAAACUCUCUUGGUCAAUCAGUGGUUGAGGUCAGGGCACUGGAGAUCAUUGCUGCGAGUACAUGAUCGGUGGCUGUGUAGUUGGCAAAUCCUCCCUGUUUCACAAUGUAAGUCAUUUUAGUAUUUCCCAUAUUUAUAUUGAUGUUAAUGAAUCUAGAUAUAUUGUGGGAAAUGUUAGAAUGACUUACGUUGUGAAACGGGGGAAGUAAGUAGGACAUGCUGCUAAAUGAGGAUCACAGUGUUUUGUCCUGACUAGUGGCGGAUCGUGAGCCUAGGCAAGUUUAACAACAAAUAUAGUAUACACAAAUCUAUACAAAUUUGUAGAUCAUUUUAGAGUGAGCAUUUGCUUUGCUAUUUUACACUAAAUCGUUAUAAGUAUGUACACUAUAUACUAUUGUUGUUUC